CCCAACUAUCCCUAUUAAUCAUUACGGUGAUCCUAGAAACCAACAAAAUAGAAUCAAACGUCCUAUUCCGUUAUUCCAUGCUAAUGUAUUCAAGCGUGAGCCUGCUUUAAACACUCUAAUUUUUUCAAAGUAACAGUCCUGAUUCCCCAUAACACCAAAUUAAUGGCAUUAUAGUUCGUCAGAAAGGAGAAACCAAUAAAACCAGUACGUACAAAAGCACGACCAGUAGACCGGUCUCGAAAUUCAACUACGAGCUUUUUAACUGCAACAACUUUAAUAUACGCUAUUGGAGCUGGAAUUACCGCGGCUGCUGGCACCAGACUUGCCCUCCAA
rnacentral:misc_RNA from 1 species